UACAUAGGUAAGGGCUUAUUAAUUGAAAGUAUGUCAUCUAUAGAUAUUAAUCAAACACCUUCGAGAAAUCUAUUCUAUGUCUCAUGACUUAUGUGCCUAUUUAUAAAGGGAGGUAAUUAACAGGUGAUCUCAUUUUUUGUAGGACUUUCUUGUAGUGGACACAAAGCAGCUAUGAAGACAUACCUUCAAUUAUCCGUUUUAAUUGUGGCUUUAGUUUUCAUGUGUGCUUGUACAGUUUACUCUCAACAAGAAAAUGAAACUGAGUGUCGCUGUGACUACGCCUGCGAUGACAACACUGAAGAAGAAGGUUCAGAUUACAUGGCUAGAACCCAAUGUGAUAACUACUAUCAUAAAUGUUGCAUUCUCAUGAAGUUCUGGGUUGAUUAUCCAACGUCAAAUACUUUUGGAUAAUAAACUAGUUAGUGCAAUGGUAGGAUGUUCCCACAAAGACAGAUUUACAAAUACGUAUUACAAUCAUCGAACGUGACAUUUUGUAUUAAAGUUUAUAUUUUAUAUUUUGUAUUUCAUAUUGUUAUAUUAGCGUGCAUACAAAAGGAAUAGGUUAUCAUACAACAGCAGCAUACGCAUUUUUAUCGCAGAUGUUCCAAAAAGACAGAUUUAUAACAUGUAUAAAUAAUAAUAACAAUCAUAGAAUUAUGACAUUUUGUAUUUAAAUUUAAUUUUGUGUUUCCAUAUUGUUAUAUAUAAGCGUGUAUAUGAAAGAACAAGUUAUCAUAAAACAUUAACAUACAUAGAAAACCGACACAAACAUUAAUAUUGGGUGUGAAAUGACAAUUAGGUUCCAAAAUAAAUUAUAUAAAUUGCUUUUGA